rnacentral:lncRNA from 1 species
AGGGUCAGGCAGUGAAAAAUAGAAUCCAAGUGCAGAAGAGACAGGCAUGUGACUUGGAGUGUGUGAUUGCCAUUAAACAGUACUGUUUCAUCAAAGGUUAUACCAGGACAAAGAGUACAACCAAAGCUGCAUUUUUUGGCAGUGGUUUAAAAAACAUUGUGUAUUCUCAUGAAAGCUAUAUCAGAAAUAAUGAUAAAAAUACUUGUCUGGAACCCCAAACACUUAUUAAAUCAGCAGUCACUGAAAUGAAACAACCCAAGACAGGUGCACCUGGAUAGACCCUGAGAGACCAUGAAGCCCUGCAUUAAGGCACUGCACAGUUCAGUUGAACAAGCACAGCAGAGAAGAGGAGGAGAAUGGGCAAGUCUGUGUUUGCUUGUUUUUUUUUUUUUUUUAAGACUUAUUAAUUUAUUUAAAGUCAGAGUUACACAGAGAGAGGAGAGGCAGAAAAAGAGAGAGGUCUUCUAUCCGCUGGUUCACUCCCCAAUUGUCCCCAGUUGGCCAGAGGGCCAGAGCUGCACCAAUCCAAAGCCAGGAGCCAGGAGCUUCUUCCAGGUCUCCCACAUCAGUGCAGGGGCCCAGGGACUUGGACCAUCUUCGACUGCUUUCCCAGGCCAUAGCAGAGAGCUGGAUCGGAAGUGA